rnacentral:rRNA from 1 species
AUUGAACGCUGGCGGCAGGCCUAACACAUGCAAGUCGAGCGGAUGAAGGGAGCUUGCUCCUGGAUUCAGCGGCGGACGGGUGAGUAAUGCCUAGGAAUCUGCCUGGUAGUGGGGGAUAACGUCCGGAAACGGGCGCUAAUACCGCAUACGUCCUGAGGGAGAAAGUGGGGGAUCUUCGGAACUCACGCUAUCAGAUGAGCCUAGGUCGGAUUAGCUAGUUGGUGGGGUAAAGGCCUACCAAGGCGACGAUCCGUAACUGGUCUGAGAGGAUGAUCAGUCACACUGGAACUGAAACACGGUCCAGACUCCUACGGGAGGCAGCAGUGGGGAAUAUUGGACAAUGGGCGAAAGCCGGAUCCAGCCAUGCCGCGUGUGUGAAGAAGGUCUUCGGAUUGUAAAGCACUUUAAGUUGGGAGGAAGGGCAGUAAGUUAAUACCUUGCUGUUUUGACGUUACCAACAGAAUAAGCACCGGCUAACUUCGUG